rnacentral:misc_RNA from 1 species
GUCUACCCCGACUUAUCCAUAAAGCAUCGGGUUCUAACGAGUCAAGCUACAGCCGCGUCUACCCGUCUUGUCCAUAACCAAUAUCACACACCAAAUGCAUGCCAACACAUGCACGCUGCUUCAAAUUAUCAUAAAACAUCCAUAAUAUUUCAUCAAAUAAAGAUACGAUAUAAAAUGUGCCUAGUAUUUAAUUACAUAAAUAUAUAUUUAUAAGUG